rnacentral:rRNA from 1 species
GAUGAACGCUGGCGGCGUGCCUAAUACAUGCAAGUCGAGCGAACGGACGAGAAGCUUGCUUCUCUGAUGUUAGCGGCGGACGGGUGAGUAACGCGUGGAUAACCUACCUAUAAGACUGGGAUAACUUCGGGAAACCGGAGCUAAUACCGGAUAAUAUUUUGAACCGCAUGGUUCAAAAGUGAAAGACGGUCUUGCUGUCACUUAUGGAUGGUUCCGCGCUGCAUUAGCUAGUUGGUAAGGUAACGGCUUACCAAGGCAACGAUGCAAAGCCGACCUGCGAGAGUGAUCGGCCACACUGGAACUGAGACACGGUCCAGACUCCUACGGGAGGCAGCAGUAGGGAAUCUUCCGCAAUGGGCGAAAGCCUGACGGAGCAACGCCGCGUGAGUGAUGAAGGUCUUCGGAUCGUAAAACUCUGUUAUUAGGGAAGAACAUAUGUGUAAGUAACUGUGCACAUCUUGACGGUACCUAAUCAGAAAGCCACGGCUAACUACGUG